GAUGAACGCUGGCGGCGUGCCUAAUACAUGCAAGUCGAGCGAACAGAUGAGGAGCUUGCUCCUCUGACGUUAGCGGCGGACGGGUGAGUAACACGUGGAUAACCUACCUAUAAGACUGGGAUAACUUCGGGAAACCGGAGCUAAUACCGGAUAAUAUAUUGAACCGCAUGGUUCAAUAGUGAAAGACGGUUUUGCUGUCACUUAUAGAUGGAUCCGCGCCGCAUUAGCUAGUUGGUAAGGUAACGGCUUACCAAGGCAACGAUGCGUAGCCGACCUGAGAGGGUGAUCGGCCACACUGGAACUGAGACACGGUCCAGACUCCUACGGGAGGCAGCAGUAGGGAAUCUUCCGCAAUGGGCGAAAGCCUGACGGAGCAACGCCGCGUGAGUGAUGAAGGUCUUCGGAUCGUAAAACUCUGUUAUUAGGGAAGAACAAAUGUGUAAGUAACUAUGCACGUCUUGACGGUACCUAAUCAGAAGCCACGGCUAACUACGUG
rnacentral:rRNA from 1 species